GUCGGACGGUCCGUCGCCGGUCACCCCGCGUGGCCGGAGGAAAGUCCGGGCAACACAGAGCGCCAUUCUUUUUAACGGAAAGCUGCGGGCGACCGCAGGGACAACGUGACAGAGAACAACCGCCGGAGCCCCUCGCGCAGGGAUUUCGGCAAGGGUGAAAAGGCGGGGUAAGAGCCCACCGGGCACCACCGCGAGAUGGUGUGCCGCACGUCCAAUGGGUUGCAAGGUCAAGUAUACCGGCAUCUAAGGGCUGCUCGUCCAUUGCCGGGGGGUAGACUGCUGCAGAAGAAAUUUUGUUAGCGACCGUGGCAACACGGCGUAUAGAUAAAUGACGGACCGGCAAGCAAUUGUCGACAUAACCCGGCUUACAGUCCGGCUGC
rnacentral:RNase_P_RNA from 1 species